rnacentral:lncRNA from 1 species
GGCUACACGGGUUGGAGUUAUCCUACCUGACCUGACAUCUGGUGCGGAGAGCCAACCUGUUUGUCUUGUAAAUGAUGUUGAUGAUGAGAAGGGACCUGCUUAUUUCACAUAUAUCCCAAGUCUGAAGUACUCAAAACCUUUCAUGAAGUCUAAUCCAUCUAUGGGAUGUCAAUGUCUUGGUGGAUGUCAACCUGGUGGCAGUUGUUCUUGUGUUCAGAAAAAUGGAGGCUAUUUGCCCUUUAAUUCAAUUGGAGUUCUCAUGAGUUACAAAACCUUGGUACAUGAGUGCGGUUCUGCCUGUUCAUGCCCUCCGAACUGCCGGAAUCGAACCACUCAAGCAGGUCCUAAAGUGCGUGUGGAGGUCUUCAAAACAAAAAAUAGAGGUUGGGGGCUUAGGUCUUGGGAUCCCAUACGCGGAGGUGGCUUUGUUUGUGAAUAUGCCGGAGAAGUUAUUGAUGAAUCUAGGGUAGGUGAAUUUGGCAAUGACGGUGACGAUGAUUAUAUAUUUGAUGCUACCCGC